UAGAAGGUGAAUUUCAACCUGUGACUGAAGUGGACCUCUUUAUUUCUACACAGAGAAUAAAAGUAUUGAAUGCAGACACUCAGGAAACUAUGAUGGAUUAUCCUCUGAGGACCAUUUCUUACACUGCGGAUAUAGGGAAUAUAGUUGUUCUGAUGGCUCAUAGACAAAUGCUGCAAUCAAAUUCCCGGGACAGUGUGGAAGCAUCUCACCCUUCCCAAGAUGGAAAAAGGCAAUACAAAAUGAUUUGCCACAUCUUCGAGUCUGAGGAUGUUUUCUUCAUCUCCCACUGAAGUCAAUGGGAAGACCCCUCAACAUGAAUUGGACAGAACCACAAAAACAAGUGAAGUUGAGGGUGUAAAACACAGCAGGAAUCAGAAGUGUGAUAACUGUCUUCAAGACUGUUGAGUUUCCUCAGGCAACUUAUGGAAAGCCUGCACUGUAUAUAACCUACUAAAUAGUAUAUGGCAACAAUAAACCUCUGACCACAGAUGGAAACCAAGUGCUCAGCGAAAAUCAAAGUUUUCAUGGCUCUCAUCAACAGAAGUGUGCAUAUGUACAUACACAUCCAUGAAAUCUCUAGAAUAAAGUCCAGGUAUCAUUACUAGUCUCCAAACACAAUGCAGUGCACAGUCCAUUCCACAGUAAUUGAGAAACUAAUGGCUAUAAGCAUCACACCAUUCUCAAGUGAAAAGGAUGGUAUUUUUUUUUUCCCCAUAUGUGUUCUGGUCUUGUUUUUAAUCACACUGAGCCUUUACAUGGCAGAAACUGUUGCUUUCAGAAAAUUCAAGGCAUCAGCCUGGUCUGAAUAUAUGGUUCAAAUUCAGUGUAAACAGCAGUAUGCAGUAUGGACAGAAUGUAGAUAUACAAAAUGGAAUGUUUUCAUCUUGAGGAAAAAGAGCCAUCAGCUGCUUUAUUCUUUUACUGUUUUUCCCCUUUGUCCCUGAUAUAAGUUAUAGACCAGUCAAAUCCAGCAUUUCAUACAUCUCUACAUUUCUUCACACAAAUCCAUAUAGUACUCACACAUCCUCUAAGUGUCAUAUGGAAAAACAAAUCACAAAUUAACUUAUAUAACAAAAUAAAUAAAUAAAUUUAUUCCCACUUUACCUUUACUUCUCCUAUUUACAUCUAAAGAAAAAUGUCAAUAAAAACUAGAUGUCUUUCAACAAAAAAUACUUUUAAAAUGGCUCAGUGUAACAAAAUUACUUAGAACAGUGUGGAGACCUAUUAUUUUCAAGCACAAUUAUAAAUGUCAGUAUACACAAGCACACAAUUGUGUGCACCAAAUCUGUAAUUAAGAGCUUAGAAUGUAUAGCUUUUCAGCAGAGCCCCUCAGUAUUACUCUUGCUGGAUAUUUAGAGAUCACUCCUCUCCCCCCUCAUUUAACCUCUGAAAUGGGCAUAUAAAAGACUCACUGCAUUUGAAAAACAAGUAUUUUAAGAAUUAGAAACCUGGGGGACCCAACUGCAAAAAAUCACAUCUUCUGAAUUAUUUGCUGAAACAUGUCAAAAUUGCAUUGUCUGUACCAACUCA